AAUAAUGAUAAUUUCUUCAUCAAACUUUUUAGCUUCCACUUUCUAAUAUGAUUUCUUCAAGUAAGAUUAUCAUUUCAUACUCUUGUCUCUGUGAUCUAUUACUCACCAUCUCUCUCUCUCUCUCCCUCUCUCAUGUCUCUAAGAUAUGUUUCUCCCUCUCUUUCAUUUUUCAAUUUUAGAUCCGUGUAAAAUUAGUGUGACAACAAAAAUAAGUUCUUAGAGGAAGAUUUGUUGUUAUUAAGAAUCGUGUGUCACGACUCAAGAAAGAAACAUCGUGGCCCUACUUCGAAACUGGAAAACUCAUCCGUCUCUGCCUCGGUCAACACCGUGACCCUAAAGUGAUUGCGUUGCGGCUCAAAAUACGAAUACAAUAGCGCAGCGACUUAAAAGUCCAGCGUCGCUGUAACGUCCCUGUAACAUCCCAAAUUUGUUAUUAAGGUCAAGUGCCAUGAAAACUGUGCUAGGAGGGCGUAAUCGAAUUUAUAAAUGGAAUUAAUUGAAUAUAUGUGUGACUAUGCGAUAUAAAUUAUUUAUAUGGUAAUGUAAAUAAUUAUGCAUGUCUAUGUGUAUUAAAUAUGCAUGUGAGUCCGUUUUUGUAAAUUGUGGCAUAUUUGUAAUUUUCGAUUGAGGGUA